CGGCAGGCCCCAAGGAAGCCAGGAAGAAAAAGGCAGGCAGAGCUCUCUGCAGCAACAGACCCUCUGCCCAGAACAUCCAGCACAACUUUGGCCAGUGGGAAACAGUGCAGCAAAAUCAGGAAGCAGAGCUCCAGCUGCAUGCAAAGUUAUCUUCUGGACACAGUGGGCCAGCAACUAUUUUGCAAAUACUCCCAGUUUGAAGCCAUGGAUUUUGUUUUGAAUGAAUAUUCCUCCAUAAUUUACUCAGCUUGAAUGAUUAGCAA